UACGAAAGGACCAAGCGUUACUCGGAAUCACUGGGCGUAAAGCGCGCGUAGGCGGCCUUGUAUGUCGAUUGUGAAAGCCCCGGGCUCAACCUGGGAACUGCAGUCGAAACUGCAAGGCUUGAAUGUUGGAGAGGUUGGGGGAAUACCUAGUGGAGAAGUGAAAUUCGUAGAGAUUAGGUGGAACACCAGAGGCGAAGGCGCCUGACUGGCCAAACAUUGACGCUAAGGCGCGAAAGCGUGGGGAGCAAACAGGAUUAGAAACCCCAGUAGUCC
rnacentral:rRNA from 1 species